GAUCGGACCGGGGUCUGACCGAGAUCUCACCGGGAUCUCACCGGGAUCUCACUGGGAUCUGACCGAGAUCUCACCGGGAUAACGCCGGGAAAUCACCGGGAACAGGAUCAGACCGGGAUCCAGGACGGACGGGACCCCGGGGUCUGACCGGGAUACCGGGAUCGGGUCACCGGCAUCAGGAGCUGACCGGGAUAACCCCGGGAUAACGCCGGGAUAACACCGGGAUAACGCCGGGAUAACACCGGGAUAACGCCGGGAUAACCCCGGGAUAACACCGGGAUAACACCGGGAUAACACCGGGAUCACACCGGGAUAACACCGGGAUAACACCGGGAUAACACCGGCAACAGGAUCGGACCAGGAACGGGACACCGGGAAUGGGACCUGACCGGGAUCCAGAACGGAACCGGGACACCGGGAACGGGAUCGGGAUCAGGAGAGCCGGAUCCAACCGGGAACGGAACAGGAUCCAACCGGGAUCCAACCGGGAACGGACUGGGAUUGGGACAGCGGGAACGGAACGGGAUCAGCAAUGGAACGGGAUUGGGAUUGGGAACGGGAUUGGGAUGGGAUUGGGACACCGGGAACAGACUGGGAUUGGGAUUGGGAAUGGGAAUGGGAUUGGGAUGGGAUUGGGACACCGGGAAUGGCCAUUGGGGACCGGGACAUUGGGAUCAGAACGGGACCGGGACACCGGGAAUGGGACGGGAUUGGGAUGCUGGGAAUGGACUGGGAACGGGAAUGGAACGGGAAUGGGAACGGGAACGGGAACAGGGCAGGAACGGGAAUGGGAAUGGACCGGGAUUGGAUCGGGAUUGGGAUUGGAUUGGGAUCAGGAACAGGAACGGGAACGGGAUUGGAUUGGGAUUGGGAUUGGGAACAGGGCAGGAAUGGGAUUGGGAACGGACCGGGAUUGGAUUGGGAUUGGGAGCAGGAAUGGCCCAGGAAUGGGAAUGGGAACAGACUGGGAUCCCGGGAAUGGGAUUGGGAUCAGGAAUGGGAUCCCGGGAAUGGAGCAGGAACGGGAUUGGGAACGGGAUCAGGAACGGGAUCAAAGCGGGGUCCCAGGAUUGGGAUCGGGAGCAGGAUCAGACCGGGAUUGGGAACAGGAUUGGGCCAGGAUUGGGACUGGGAUCAGACCGGGAUCCUAGGAAUGGAUUGGGAUUGGGAACAGAGCGGGAAUGGGAAUGGACCAGGAUUGGGAUUGGGAUCGGGAUCAGGAUUGGGAUUGGGAUCGGGAUUGGGAUCGGCAAUGGGAUCACACCGGGAUUGGGAUCGGGAAAUUUGGGAAUGUGGGAUCGGCCCCGGGAUGGGAAAAGACCCCAAAUCCAUCGGGAUCGGGAUGGGAAAAAUCCCAAAGUCCCAAAAUCUCAAUUUUCCUCAAAAAACCCCGGUUUGAGUCCCCAAAAUCUCAUUUGAAAUCCCAAAUUCCCAUUUUUAAAUCCCAAAAUCCCUUUUUUUUUUUGGCCCCCACCCCAAUUCCCAUUUUUA
rnacentral:lncRNA from 1 species